UACGAAGGGGGGCUAGCGUUGCUCGGAAUCACUGGGCGUAAAGCGCACGUAGGCGGAUCGUUAAGUCAGGGGUGAAAUCCUGGAGCUCAACUCCAGAACUGCCUUUGAUACUGACGAUCUCGAGUCCGGGAGAGGUGAGUGGAACUGCGAGUGUAGAGGUGAAAUUCGUAGAUAUUCGCAAGAACACCAGUGGCGAAGGCGGCUCACCUGGCCCGGUACUGACGCUGAGGUGCGAAAGCGUGGGGAGCAACAGG
rnacentral:rRNA from 1 species